rnacentral:rRNA from 1 species
AUUGAACGCUGGCGGCAUGCCUUACACAUGCAAGUCGAACGGCAGCACGGAGCUUGCUCUGGUGGCGAGUGGCGAACGGGUGAGUAAUAUAUCGGAACGUACCCAAGAGUGGGGGAUAACGUAGCGAAAGUUACGCUAAUACCGCAUACGAUCUAAGGAUGAGAGCAGGGGAUCGCAAGACCUUGUGCUCCUGGAGCGGCCGAUAUCUGAUUAGCUAGUUGGUGGGGUAAAGGCCCACCAAGGCAACGAUCAGUAGCUGGUCUGAGAGGACGACCAGCCACACUGGAACUGAGACACGGUCCAGACUCCUACGGGAGGCAGCAGUGGGGAAUUUUGGACAAUGGGGGCAACCCUGAUCCAGCAAUGCCGCGUGAGUGAAGAAGGCCUUCGGGUUGUAAAGCUCUUUUGUCAGGGAAGAAAAGGCUGUGGCUAAUAUCCACGGCUCAUGACGGUACCUGAAGAAUAAGCACCGGCUAACUACGUGCCAGCAGCCGCCGUAA